ACACGAAUCCGUAUUUCAAUUUUAAAUCGUAACUAAGUAACAUACAACAUGGCAGCCUUCGAAGCAGUACCACAUGGCAGAGCUUUGAAGAAAAAGGUACAAGCUUUAAGAGGUGUGGUUCAUCCACGAAUGUCCCAAAUUACCCUGUGCAAACCUCUAAGCCAACAACUAUCCUCUGACGAAAAUACUAGUCAUCAGAAAACUAAACCGUUCAUCUUAGAUUUCAAAGAGAUACAUAGUGUAACAAAAAUUACAGUGUUUGUAAAUUUUAGUAUUUUCGAAGCGUCGCAACAGCACAAUUUUUUUCGUGUCUUAAAAAAUGUAGCAAAUUCAACAAAUAUCAAAAAUACAAGAAUCAUGAGAUAAAAUAUUAUGAUUUAAAGGUUUCACUCAACUGAGAAAAGAAAAAAAACUUACUGGCUUUGUGCAAAAGGAAUUUUUUAAAUAAAUCAACUGGGUGCUUGUCAAAGAGUAUGGAAUGCAAAGCAUUAAAUAUUCGUCCCAAUUUACACCACUGUCCCAAAUAACCCCAUUUGACGGUACCUAUUAUUGUCAAAAGCCUGGAAACUUUAAUUAAUGAACUCCAGUCAAGCAGUACUCUUCAGUCUCGCCACCUGUCAACACUGAUUUACCAAAACACCUGUCCCCUUUAUGCCUUAAAAGUUCUUGUGAUACACCUACGAUUGAGGAAAAUGAUAAUACUGGCGACGGUGUGGAAGAGAUGGUGGAGAAGCCAACUAGGCGAACAACUGGGUUGCUGUCUGGUUGCUAAGGUAGCACUGGCUCCUGGUAUUAAGAUUUUGCAUUCGCAGAGGGAUUUUUUGAUUUUACAAGGAAAUCCAAAGAACUACACGUAUGCGUUAAUGGACAUAAUUUGGUCCAGAGAAGUGUUAGCAACACAUUCCUUAACAGGAAAAACGUUUAAUGCUCACAAAGAUAAAACACCAAAGCCUUCAUUGGAUGCUCCAAAAGUUGCUGCACUGUGUGAUUGUCAAAGGAGGAUCAUGACGGAAGGAACCGCUAUCACAAUUACCAAAAAAAUGCAACAAUUAUAGAAAAAACACGCACGGAGAAAUUACUGGAACUUCCAGUGGAAAACCAAGCUAUACCAUGCACCCUGGAAAGCCGUCGUAAAGUUUAAUACCAGAGCCUAACCUCAAUCCAGUACUGUGUGGAUACUCAUAAUUCUUGAAUAUGAGACAAACAAUGUGCAGUGGGAGUAAAAAGGUAUACGAAGAUAAGGAAUGGCAAAGUGUACAAAUGUGUAAAUAAGUAACUGGCUUUAUUAAAUUUGGAACAUAUUUUACUUUCGCCUUAAUAGACUAUAAAAAGUACAGUUAUGUUUUGUGCAUUUUCUGCUUCGUUUCUGUUAGACACAUUACAAAUAAAAUUUUUACGUUAAAAUAACCUAAACAAUGAACAUUUUCACGCACUUUGGCCUAGCGAUCAAAUGAUAUUAUUUUACACGAAAUGUAAAACUAAUGUCAAAUAUAAGCACCUUAGCUGUGAUAUUAUUAUGUCUCAACAUAACGUCAACAGUGUGACAGUAGAAGUGCCUCUUUUAUUUAAGGAAAAUUUUCUUUGUGCA